rnacentral:rRNA from 1 species
UACGUAGGGGGCAAGCGUUGUCCGGAUUUAUUGGGCGUAAAGAGCGUGUAGGCGGCCAUACAGGUCCGUUGUGAAAACUGGAGGCUUAACCUCCAGACGUCGAUGGAAACCGUAUGGCUAGAGUCCGGAAGAGGAGAGUGGAAUUCCUGGUGUAGCGGUGAAAUGCGCAGAUAUCAGGAAGAACACCCGUGGCGAAGGCGGCUCUCUGGGACGGUACUGACGCUGAGACACGAAAGCCAGGGGAGCGAACGGG